CCUGGCUCCUGCCUACCUGAGCACUCAGAACAAUGGGUGGGGCCAUUAUGAUCCAUGAGUCACCAAACAGAGGAACACAGCAGUUCCCACUCAGUUCCUGUUUAAUUGUUGCCCACCCAACCAGGUGUUUCCAUCCAAGUCUCAUCUCCCUUGCAGGCUAUGGGAAAAUCUUCAACAGUUCAGCGGUUUUGAACUCCUUUCCUGUGGUGGUAGGAAUUCAGUUCUUCCAGUGGGAGAUCCUUUAUCUGCCAAAGAUCCAAAAGAGAGGAGAAGGAAAAAACAAAAUAUCCAGAGGCUGCUGCAGGAGGAGUGUGCAUGGUCUUUGCUUUAAAAUCAUUACCUCAAGGAAUGGAAAAUAAGAACAUCACCAACUCUAAUAAAAAUACUGAAUUAUUUUCUGUUAUUAAAAUGUGCAUGUUAAAAUCAGACAUUAACUUUAUAAGAUAAUAUUUUAAAACUAGAAUCUAUGCAGAGAUAGAGAUGAUUUGAUGUUAAUUACUUUAAGAUAUGUUUUUACAAUAUGGGAUGUAACAAUUCA
rnacentral:lncRNA from 1 species